rnacentral:lncRNA from 1 species
AAAAAUUAGCCAAGCACAGUGGCAUGUGUCUGUAGUACCAGCUACUUGGGAGGCUGAGUGAAGAGGGAGGAUUGCUUGAGGCCAGGAGUUGGAGACCAGACUGGGCAACAUAGCGAGACCUCAGCUUGGAAGUAAGGAAGGAAAGAAGGGAGGGAAGGAGGGAUGAAGGUAGAAAGAAACGGGACAAGAUGGACUCCUGAGGCCAUCCUAAUUCUGGAACACAAUACAAUGGCCUCUGUAUGUUAGGAGGGCUCAUUUGGCUUCUCUCUAAGCCAGCAGUCCACAUCUUUUUGGCACCAAGGACCAGUUUUGUAGAAGACAAUUUUCCACGGAUGGGGGCGGGGGGUGGGGGUGGGAGGGGAUGGUUUCGGGAUGAAACUGUUCCACCUCAGAUCAUCAGACGUUAGAUUCUCGUAAGAGGUGCCCAACCUACAUCCCUUGCACGUGCAGUCCACAAUAGGGUUUGUGCUUCUAUGGGAAUAUAAUGCCACACUGAUCUGACAGGAGUCAGGGCUCAGGUAGUAAUGCUCACUCACCUGCCGCACACCUCCUGCUGUGCGGCCGGUUCCCAAUAGGCCAUGGAAUGCUUAUUGGUCCACAGCCCUGGAGUUGGGCACCCCUCUUCUAAGGCAGAAGCUUCUACUGUCUUAGGAGCAGCGUCCUGGCCUCCACAGCAGGGAGAGAGCAGGAAUACCCAGCCACAGAUACUGGUCAAGAUAUUGAUCAACUUCCUACCAUCAUGGUGGAGGCAAGCCUGGAGGCCUCUGGGUGGUCAUCAGGUCACCCCAGCACAUUUUCCUGCCCCGGACUCCUGGCCACGCUGAGGUUGCUGUGAGCAGACACGAUGUGCAGGGUCAUGGAUGUGCAGCUCAAACUCCUUGACAAGCGGGAGAUUUAUUUUAUGGCCCAAGCAGUUUGGAGACAAAAUCGUAAGGUGCUCACCCAUCCAGUGUCUCUUCAGCCGGCACUGGGAGGUGUCAAACUGACCACAUUCGACUGCCCCUUCCGCCCGCAGAAUAUGGGUCUGCGUUUCUCUUUCCCUCUUGGUGGCCAAGAACUGUCAACAUCCAGCUGUGGCUCUGCACUCAGCCGCCGCUCAGCCUGCUCAGGUUGAAAGGUCAAACGUUGUCUGGAAUUGGCAGCCCAGCUUACUAGCAGCUCUUCUGUCUUCAGAGUGCAGUGAGGGGAGCUGUCAGAGGGCUGAGGCAAGGACCAGAGAGGGAACUCCUGCGACAGAGAAAGCUCAGCCCUGGUUAUGUUCUGGAGGGAGCAUAGCAGGGUCUGUCCCAGGAACUUUAUUAGUUAGCGGUUAAGAUCCUCAUCCACAGAAAAGCCGGUAGGAAUUAGCCAGGUGGUGUGUGCCUAUGGUCCCAGCUACCCAGGAGGGUGAGGAGGGAGGACUGCUUGAGCCCAGGAGGUUGAGGCUGCGGCUAGCUAUGAUUGUGUCACUGCGCUCCAGCCUGGGUGACAAAGCAAGAUCCUGACUCAAAAAAAAAAAAAAAAAAAAAAGGAAGAAAGAAGAAAGAGAGAGAAGAAAGAAAGGAGAGAAAGAGAAGGAAGGAAGGAGAAAGGAAAGAAGGAAGGAAGAAAAGGAAGAAAGAAUGACAAAGAAAAGAAAGAAAGACGAAAAGGAAAGGAAAAGAAAAGAAAAAAGAAACAAAAGCAGGAAAGUGAGGGGAGAGGGCCAGGAAGACAGAAGACAGGAUGGGCAAGAAGGGUGGGAAGGAUUCCCACACCAGAUUCAGGAGUGGCUCUGCAUUGGGAAAUCCAUCUACGACUGCUGGGGACUUGGUUUUGCAAACAUGCACAGAGAAACCUUCAUCCACCUCUGUGCAAUGUUGGACUGAAGUAGAAAUGAGCCGCUGUUUUCUGGAAGCACCCCAUUUCUUUGAGCUGAUCUUCUCUAAUAAUGAAUUCUGGUGAAGCCUGCCAUUCACAGCACCCUGCCCUCCCAUCUGUAGGAGGUGGGAACAGGACCCAGGCCAGUUGAUCAGAGAGCUCCCUUGCCCUGGGAUGAGCAUGUGACCCAGAUGUCUCAAUCAUGGGGAAGAUCCUCUUGCCUGUUAUAGCCACUAUGCUGGAAGAACAGGAUGUGGGCUUGCUGGCCGCCAUCUUCCAGUCCACGCUGGGAACCCAUCUGCAGGAGGAGGGAAGGAGGACAACCCAGUUUGAGGGAGCAUAUGGACAGCAGCUAUAGAAGGCUCCAUAUGUGCCCAGUGCUAGAUCCACCCCAUCCCUUCCUGUUCCAUAAAUCCAUACAUCUUCUCUCACUUUUGCUUACCCUAGUUUGAGUUACAUUUCUGACACCUGCCACCAUAAAAGCCCAAAUGAUUACAGAGAAUAUUUGGCUACAGGAAAGACCCUGCAGUCUGUGAAAAAAGAGGCUGCUGGUGCAUAGUCAUCGUAGACCAGUGCAAAGAGUGAAACAGAAACAUCCAGCUUAAUCUGCAAAAGCCUUUUUGGAUCCUUGAGAGGCGCUCAUUAACUUACAGCAAAUUGGUGAGCUGAUACUCUUCUUUCAUCCAGGUGAGUGCAUUAACUAGGUUAAUGUUCCUGUCUCAAGGGACUGCUGUAGGUUAGGGUGAAUGAAUGAAAGAAGCAAGUUUUUAAACAGGAAAAAGGCUGCAGGGAAGUUGAGGUGACAAGCAUCGUUUCACCCCCAAUGGAAGGUGAGCUUGUCUGUUAGGUCCCAGGGACUGAAUUGGAGUUCCGUGGUUAGGGAAUGACCCAUCUCAACAAGCAACUUCCAUCAUCCUUCCAUGGGGAUCUGAUUAAGGUCUUCUCCAGAAGGAGAUGGCCUCGUGAGUUGGGGCUUUUUAAUCUCCCUGUCCCUCCUCUAGAAGGGCAUUGCUACUGGCCUUGCCCUGCCAAGUCUUCAGUCUACAACAACACUGCCCGGCUUCAGACACAGCCCAGAUCCUUCCCAGAUCCUUCCCAGACACAGCCCAGAUCCUUCCCAGACAAAAAGUCCUUCCGACUUUUUGCCCUUUCGGCCCAGCCUUCCCUAUCACUUAUGCUGAAAUUGGGAACGUUUCCCAAACCAACAAUUUCCCAGUCCACAAUGUUCCCUUGCUGAGUGUCCCCACAGGAGAGACAGGCAGCCUGAUAAAUAAAACCAGUCAUAAAACCUCCCUGCCUUAGCAAAGGGACUGCUUUGCCAGGCUACCGUCACAUAGCACUCCUGUCUCCCGUUUGACUUCAUAUAGUGAAAAUUGUCUAAAAGAUAAGGCAGGAGCUCUGGUUGACACCCCCCCUGCCCCCGCCUCAUAGAUCUCUCUCUAGAAGCAUUGGAAGAGGCCGUCUCAAAAAAGAAAAAUAAAAUAGAAGCAUUGGAGGAAAGAUGUGGUUUGUAGUGAAACAAAUUGGAAGUCAAGCUCAGCCUCAACCACUUACUUGCUUCUGACCUUGGGAACUUAGGCCAGCUCCCAUCCAGUUCAAUCAGGUUGGGACCACCAGUUCUUCAAUGGGCCUGCCCAAAUGCCCAAGAAGUGGACUUUUGAUGUCAGAGGGCCAAAGAUCCCGCCCUCAGAUCAUGCUAAUGCCACCACUUUCUGUACACAUGUCCUAUGAAAUGCC